UACGGGGGGGGCAAGCGUUGUUCGGAAUUACUGGGCGUAAAGCGCACGUAGGCGGCUUGGUAUGUCGGGUGUGAAAUCCCCGGGCUCAACCUGGGAACUGCAUUCGAAACUGCCUUGCUCGAGUAUGGGAGAGGGAAGUGGAAUUUCCGGUGUAGCGGUGAAAUGCUUAGAUAUGACAUAGAACACCAAUUGCGAAGGCAGCUUACUACAGGAAUAUUGACACUGAGGCACGAAAGCGUGGGGAUCAAACAGG
rnacentral:rRNA from 1 species